CCUACGGGCGGCAGCAGUGAGGAAUAUUGGUCAAUGGACGAGAGUCUGAACCAGCCAAGUAGCGUGAAGGAUGACUGCCCUAUGGGUUGUAAACUUCUUUUAUAAAGGAAUAAAACGAGGCACGUGUGCCUUUUUGCAUGUACUUUAUGAAUAAGGAUCGGCUAACUCCGUGCCAGCAGCCGCGGUAAUACGGAGGAUCCGAGCGUUAUCCGGAUUUAUUGGGGUUAAAGGGAGCGUAGAUGGGUUGUUAAGUCAGUUGUGAAAGUUUGAGGCUCAACCGUAAAAUUGCAAUUGAUACUGGCAGUCGUGAGUACAGUUGAGGUAGGCGGAAUUCGUGGUGUAGCGGUGAAAUGCUUAGAUAUCACGCAGAACCCCGAUUGCGAAGGCAGCUUACUAAACUGUGACUGACAUUGAUGCUCGAAAGUGUGGGUAUCAAACAGGAUUAGAUACCCGGGUAGUC
rnacentral:rRNA from 1 species